GACGAACGCUGGCGGCGUGCUUAACACAUGCAAGUCGAACGGAAAGGCCCUGCUUUUGUGGGGUUCUCGAGUGGCGAACGGGUGAGUAACACGUGAGUAACCUGCCCUUGACUUUGGGAUAACUUCAGGAAACUGGGGCUAAUACCGGAUAGGAGCUCCUGCUGCAUGGUGGGGGUUGGAAAGUGUCGGCGGUUGGGGAUGGACUCGCGGCUUAUCAGCUUGUUGGUGGGGUAGUGGCUUACCAAGGCUUUGACGGGUAGCCGGCCUGAGAGGGUGACCGGCCACAUUGGGACUGAGGUAGGGCCCAGACUCCUACGGGAGGCAGCAGUGGGGAAUAUUGCACAAUGGGCGGAAGCCUGAUGCAGCAACGCCGCGUGCGGGAUGACGGCCUUCGGGUUGUAAACCGCUUUCGCAUGUGACGAAGCGUGAGUGACGGUAAUGGGUAAAGAAGCACCGGCUAACUACGUG
rnacentral:rRNA from 1 species